UUUAGAACAAGCUGUAAGUAAAGAUGGAGGUUGUACAGCGACUCCAGUACUGCAGUUACGUCUAGAAGACAUAUGAUUUGAAGACGGAGAACUUCCUAGACUCUUCUCAGGACUCAGUGUGAGGAGGAGAGAGUGAGCUGCUUCAAGAAAGGUCAAACAACAGAGCAGAAGAAUGCAAUGAUAACGGUACUCUCUGGAACCAUAGGAUACAUCCUCCUUUUCUCUCUCUCUUGACUUGAUAGACUAGAAGCUGCAAGGCUUCCAAAAACAGAGAACAUGCAUUAACAGUUUGAAGGGAAAUGAAAAUCUGCAUUGUUUGAACAAAAUAGUUCAGUGAUCUACUGCUGCUGUCUGCUGAACCCAGUUACACAGAUAACAGCAGAGAGGCAGCCUGACAGAAUGGCAUCUGAUAUGAGGAG
ensembl:lncRNA